GACGGAGGAUGCAAGCGUUAUCCGGAAUGAUUGGGCGUAAAGCGUCCGCAGGUGGCAGUUCAAGUCUGCUGUCAAAGACCGGGGCUUAACUUCGGAAAGGCAGUGGAAACUGAACAGCUAGAGUAUGGUAGGGGCAGAGGGAAUUCCUGGUGUAGCGGUGAAAUGCGUAGAGAUCCGGAAGAACACCGGAGGCGAAGGCGGCUUGCUGGGCGUAGUCUGACGCUGAGGCGCGAAAGCGUGGGGAGCGAACAGG
rnacentral:rRNA from 1 species